GGCUGCUCCGACGGCAGUGGGUUAUCAGAACUUAUUAACAUUAGUGUCACUAAAGUUGGUAUACCACCCCCCCACUGCUAAAUUUGACUUAAA
ensembl:misc_RNA Y_RNA Y RNA